GAUGAACGCUGGCGGCGUGCCUAAUACAUGCAAGUCGAGCGAACAGACGAGGAGCUUGCUCCUCUGACGUUAGCGGCGGACGGGUGAGUAACAUGUGGAUAACCUACCUAUAAGACUGGGAUAACUUCGGGAAACCGGAGCUAAUACCGGAUAACAUGUUGAACCGCAUGGUUUAACAGUGAAAGACGGUCUUGCUGUCACUUAUAGAUGGAUCCGCGCCGCAUUAGCUAGUUGGUAAGGUAACGGCUUACCAAGGCAACGAUGCGUAGCCGACCUGAGAGGGUGAUCGGCCACACUGGAACUGAGACACGGUCCAGACUCCUACGGGAGGCAGCAGUAGGGAAUCUUCCGCAAUGGGCGAAAGCCUGACGGAGCAACGCCGCGUGAGUGAAGAAGGUCUUCGGAUCGUAAAACUCUGUUAUUAGGGAAGAACAAAUGUGUAAGUAACUAUGCACGUCUUGACGGUACCUAAUCAGAAAGCCACGGCUAACUACGUG
rnacentral:rRNA from 1 species